UUGAUAAGACUGUCAUUGAUGA
rnacentral:miRNA from 1 species